GCACUUACUUCAGCAGCACAUAUACUAAAAUUGGAGCAAUACAGAGUAGAUUAGCAUGGCUUCUGCACAAAGAUGACACAUAAAUUUGUGAAACAUUCAAUAUUUUU